UCCAUUUUUUUUCAACAAAUCCGUCUACUCAUGUUACCUACUCUAGCUACCCAUAAGUGCCUUCUUUUUAAGUGACUAAAACUCUCUCUCCCGAAACCUAGCACAAUGAGAGCGUUCUAACUUCUAAGCUUGUUAUUGCUCUCGUCCGAUGGCGGUCGACAGUAGCCCCUGGUCUUUGAGAUCGAUUGCUUUGGUGGUCGGUGUCGAUCUCUGGUUCGACACUCCUCGGUAGCAAGGACAGUUAGCGAUACCGAAGCAAGAGAUGGUGACUGCAUGGCGGAGGGAGCAAGGUCGGUUCUGAUCCAACUCUGCCUUAAUUAAGUGGCGGCGCAGGCAGCAUAGAGAAAGACGCCAGCGACCUAGUGUGCGAGGUUUCCAGAUUCGUAUGUUCUGAUUCUGGGCUUGUUGCAUAGGGUUUCACUGAUGGCUUCGGCGAGGUGGAGUCAAGGCGGCGUGGUGGUCUCUUGCGGUGUGGCGGCAGUGGCCGGUGAGUUGUGAUGUCGGUGGCGAUGCGUGUGGACUUGCGAUGAGUGGUGUUGGCUAGACUUGGAUUGGGCCACCCCCAUUUGGUUUUGGGCCUCUUUAGUCCUCUUUUUAUUUUAUUUUUUUUGCUAGGUCUGCUUAGUGCUUACGUGCUUAGGGAAAUUUAUCUUAGUUUUUUGCCUUUGUUCUCUAAGUAGGGUUAUAGGUGAUCUUGGGGAAGCCCCCUCAGCGUAGAGAGGUCCCGAAAGUGGCAUAAUAAGUUGGGUUGGGAAUUUGCCAGUCCAGUACCUUUUUUGAUUAUGUCAUGGUUACUUGUUCUUUGGUUGCUAUCAAAGGCAGUUUUACGUAGGGUUCUAAUACGUAUUAGGGCUCUUAGCAAUAGCUCAAUUAUGUUAGGCCCUUCAUAGGGCUAGUUUAUUGUGUAAUGUUUGCCUCUUUCUACCUAUUAAUGGACUGACACCCUAAUUUGAUAA
rnacentral:lncRNA from 1 species